GCGGGAAAGGCUUCGGCCGGACAGGGAUGGGCAUGCGGCGCAUUAGGCAGUAGGCGGGGUAACGGCCCACCUAACCGACGAUGCGUAGGGGUUCUGAGAGGAAGGUCCCCCACAUUGGAACUGAGACACGGUCCAAACUCCUACGGAAGGCAGCAG
rnacentral:rRNA from 1 species